UCUACCACACUGCCACCGUCGGUCGCUGCUGUCGAGCUUUGGUCUUCGGCAUCGUCGCUGGCCACAGCAAGAUGGGAAAUGUUCGCUCUCCUCUGCUCAUCUCAGACAGCAGCAGCACAUGCGCAGCUGCAGGAGAAGUCGUGGCACCGACAACCGUAGGCGAGCAGAGUGCCGCAGCUUCAGUCCCAACGUCCAGAUCCAAAUGGAUUUGGCGGAAGAGGAGGCAGAGGUCGUAAAGUCUUCUUUUCCUUGAAAUGUGGUGAUAUCACAUCUUGGAAGAACUCUCACGCAUUACCUGAUUUAUCUCAUUGCGGUGCCUUAUUCUAGUGAUGGACAAUUCGAAAGGUUUAGUUGGGCGUGAAUUCGUCGACCGUCGAGUUUCACAUCAUGUUGUAGUUUUUGUUGUUUCUGAUAUUUGUCAGCGUUGUGUCGCCAUCUGCGUCAUAGAAUUGGUAGACUUUAAUUUUGCUGGUGAUGUGUCUGUUGGGUAGCAGAUUUGGCUGGCUUAAAAUUAUACCUUACUCAAUCACGCCACAGCUUGUAGCAUCUAUAUAUCUCACAAACGCAUGCAUAUUAUAAUAUAUGUCGGCUAGCUGAGAGGACCAUAUGUAGACAUACCUAUGAAGGAUCAAUUAGCAUACGUGCUUAGGAAAGAGAGAUCCAUGAACGCAACUAUUCUCAUCCAGACGCAUGUGUACGUGUGUGUUUCUGUUAUGCUCCAUCGCGCUGGCCCCUUGACUUUAGUUGAUCAUGCCGCCGCCAUUGCGAGUCACCGGCCAUGCAGCCAAGCUGCUACGUUCCUGUCCCGCUGCAGCAUCCUCACCAUCGGUGCGCCGGCAAGAUCGCAUGAAGCUUGAGGAGGCUAGGUGCCAUGCUUUGUUGCUUCGGAAGCUGGAACCUACACUCCAACUCAUGGUAGGAUUUGACUUGCCUAUGUAUUUGGCUUGCUGAUUUUAAAGAAGACGCCGCGGGUGCUAGCGAUAAUGUCAAUCAUGUGUUUUGUCGUGUUCCUGUCUCCAAGAAAACCGUAUGUGUGCGUGUUUCCGAUGAAUACAUAUUGUGGACGGCACAUGUAUGGUACUACUUCCGUUUUUAACCAUCUAGUAGACCGAAGUUUGUUUUUCUUCUUUUGACUUGAGCCCAGGAUUUCCUCUGUUACGUGAUUUUGAACAUAUACGUGUCAGAUGGAAAAUAUAUGUACAUAAUAUUGUUGCACGUAACUUUUAGAUUCUUUUAAUCUUGGCUGUCAAAAUCAAGAUCGCCGGAGCAUAUAUUUCUAACCUAUGUGGAUGAACCUG